CGCGGCCUUCUUUCUUCUCUGUGACGGCAUCUACCCAAACGUCCUUCUGUCUAUAUAUGGCCUUCUUUUCUGCCUCUUAUGAAGACGCUUGUCAUUGGACUUAAGGCCCACCUGGGUGGUCCAGAAUGGUCUCAAGAUCCCUAACUCAAUCACAUCUGCAAAGGACUUUCUACUAAGACGCAGCCUGGAUCACCUGCUCAGAGCCGAGGACAGCAUGUUAUCUUCAUCUUCUGCAGGUGUGGCCAAGGCAGAAGCUGGAAGAGUGAGGACUCUCCCGAGGGUGGCGCCUGAGCCCCUGAAGAUCUGUCGCACGGAAAGAGAAGUAUUCACCAACUCUUGGGUGACAGUAUUGGUCAAAGUAUUCACCAACACAACAGCCUCGAGGAACUCAGGAAUUUUGUCAAGCAGCAAAGUUGCCUCUGAGCCCAUUUCAGAGACAAAAGAGAAAGCUGGCCUGAGUCCUCCAUGUCAGCACGCCAGCUGGCCCACCCCCUGCCUGCCCCGGAAUCCAAACUUUACAGCCUGAAGCUUCAUGGAAUUUUGUCUCAAAUGAGAUGAAUAAGGCUUCCUAAACAGUCCGAUCUUCACCGUGGCAUUUUAGCUGGAUGUUAGGCACUGCUCUUGUACAAACUGAAAAGUCCUAUCAGUCACUCCUGGAAAAAAAUGUUCCUGCGAGUAAUUAAGUUUAUGAGCAGAAACCGUGAAUGGAGAACCAAAUCCUACUUUCUGAACCAUGAACUUCAAACACUGGCCUGAUGUCUUACCAUUUACAGAAACUGUGGGAAAAUAUUUGGAGACCUGAAGGUUAGUCUGCCUCUAAGUUGACACUAAUUAUAGGAGAUGCUUCCCUCGGUAAGCUAUGAAAGUGAGGAAGAAGAGGAAAAUGCAAACACCACCACUUGCUGAGUGAACAACCUGCGUCCUUUAAGCACAAGAGCUGUUUUGAAACUUAAGGUCUUGCCUUUACAUUUUCCCAGUGUAUCUUCAUUUUUAAAUAAACA
ensembl:lncRNA